GAACGUAUGGUUUAGUGGUCACAGCGCUUGGAGGGUUUCCUUUCCAAGAAUCGCGGGUUCAAAUCCCACGACGUUCA
rnacentral:tRNA from 1 species